rnacentral:rRNA from 1 species
AACGAACGCUGGCGGAAUGCUUUACACAUGCAAGUCGAACGGUAGAGGGGGCAACCCCUUCGAGAGUGGCGAACGGGUGAGUAAUAUAUCGGAACGUGCCCAGUCGUGGGGGAGUAACGUAGCGAAAGUUACGCUAAUACCGCAUACGAUCUAAGGAUGAAAGCGGGGGAGUCGCAAGACCUCGCGCGAUUGGAGCGGCCGAUAUCAGAUUAGGUAGUUGGUGAGGUAAAGGCUCACCAAGCCGACGAUCUGUAGCUGGUCUGAGAGGACGACCAGCCACACUGGGACUGAGACACGGCCCAGACUCCUACGGGAGGCAGCAGUGGGGAAUUU